AGCAGCUACUUUGUGACCAUGAGGGGCAAGCUAAGAGUAAUGGCCUAAGAAGAACCGGGCAGAAGACAGGAAGUUCCACAGCCUAUGAGGACAUCACUGAGCAACUGGACCAGUGUCAGCAAUUACCCACCUCUGCGUAUUUGUUGGAUAUUCUGUUACUUACAGUCAAACACAGUCCUAAUUAAUAAACUCUCUAAGCCUCAUUUUCCUCUACUGGUAACUGGAGCUAACAAUAUUUAUCGACAUUCAUUACACUCAUGUCAUGUGCCAAGAACUCCUCUAGGUGCUGGCGGCACAGUGGUCAAGAAGAGAUAAGCUCCCUCGUCUUUUUGCAUUUACAUUUUGGUGGGAGAGACAGACACUGAACCCAUAAAAAGACAAGAAUAUAUCUGAGCAUGAAAAGUGCCAUGAAGAAAAGAAAAGAAGGCAGUGUGACAGAGGGACUGGUGUGAACAUGUCCUGGGAUCCUCAUGACGGGACUCUGUGGGGAAGUGAUACCUGAGCUGAGACUUGAAUGGGAAGAAAAUGACAUGGUGCUAGAAGCGCCUUUCUGGAGACAGAAGGACUUUCCUGGGUCUUGUUUGUCACAAGCCCACAAACUGACCUCAAAGGGGAGACCAGCCCUUGAUGGCCAGCUUCUUUGCUCCAUCCAGUCUGCCACCCACAGCUUGCCUUAGAAUAUGCGCAGAAACCAUCACACCCCAGCUCUCAGACUUGCAGCGACUUCUUCAAACUAGUUACUUAAUGAACGUCAUCCGGUUCCGAUUCAGCCUUGUCAUAUUCUCAUUUGCAAAAGCCAAUCUGCUUUACGAUUCCAACCUCUGGCUAGAAACCGCUCCCAAUUUCAUGUCAUCCAUAAACUUGAUGAACGAUUAGCUUGCUCCUCUGCAGUCAUUCAUUUAUUUAUUCAACUAACAUGUAGUGAGUGCCUACUGGAUGCUGGGUGCUAGACACAGAGUUAAAGGAGACGCAGGUCUUAUCCUUGAGAAACUCCUAUGCUGGCGGUGGAGCAGACGUGGAAAUGGUUUGUUGCAGGUGUCCUAUGCUCAACCAGGGCAGAGGAUGAGAGCGGCCUCCUCAGGGGAGGGGCGGUGUAAGCUGGCCUUAAGACGCUGGAGGGGGAGACCUUCCCAGCUGGGGAAGAAAUGGUGUCCUAGUUCGAGAGACCAGAAUGUGCACAAGCAAGGAGUUCUGGGUGGUGACGGGAGAAGAAAUGUACUGAUAUCUAUAAACGUGAGGGGCAAUGAGCCUCAGGACAGGAUCCAGCUGGGACCGGGAGGCCUGUCUCUUGGCUCUUCCCGUUUCUGCUUCAUCCUGAGGCUCCAUCUGGUAGCAAAACGGCUUUGAGCAGCCUCAGGGUUACAUCCUCCCAGGUUCAAUUCAUGGAAAAGAAAGUCUGCUCUCCUCUGACAGACUCGGCACUGGGUCUCCCUGGAUCACAUGGUCUCCCCGACCAAUCAGAAUGGCUGGGGGAAUACAGGCACUUUGGCCAGGUCUGAGGCACGUGGUGUCCCUGGACCUGGGGUGGAGUCAGCUGCCUUUGAAGCCCUGGGCUGAAGGGAGGGUGGGGAUUCCCAGGGGAAAGUUGGGUGGUGUUGGUGCUGAGAAGGGUGCACAGGUGCAGGGCUGCCGGAACACAGAUGGCCACUAUGUGGCCACUGGCGCGCUGUGGCACUCUGUCUCCCCAGGUGGUGGAAGGGGAGCCCCGGGGGUCCUUUCUGCGUGGUGGGUACAGGGAGUCACUCACAGGCACUCCGAGGGUGAGGUCGGCCGCGUGAGGCCUCCUCGCUUCCACGCUCUUCUAACUGUCUGCAGGUGGGUUUGGGUGGACUUCCUGCUUUCCCAAAUGCUGGAUUUAAGCCAGUCAGCAUGUAAUCUCCAGCCAGUCCUCUGUCCUCAGCCUCCCCACUCGUCAAGCUCUUUUCCUGCCCUUCCGCCAAACUGAACCUCCAGCCAUUUCGGGAACUCCACGGUGGCCACCGGCACCUUCUAACCAGAACUCGGCACGGGAGGCUCAGCUGGAGCCAGGGCUUGCCUGCUCUAAUGGGCCUCUCAUUGGCACAUCCUGAGCACUGCAGCCUUCCAUCAGGACUUAAGACGGAGUGGUGGGCUCCUCGGUAGAUAGGUAGGGUCCCCGAGGAUAGGUUCCUUGGGGACAGACAGAUCUAGGUUCUAGUCUGUAGGGACCAGGAUUAAGUUCAGCUGUGGGUGACAGACACCACCCCGAGGAGAAAAACAGUGCCCCAAAGACAGAAGUUUAUUUCUCUCUCAAACAAUCAAGAACCUAGAAGGUGGAAGAGAAGUUUCUCAGAGUCAAUGUCAAUCAUUCUUUCUUGCUGCUCAGCUCUCUUGUUUAUUUUUAUUUCUUUUUUAAAGAUCAGCACCUGAGCUAACAACUGUUGCCAAUCUUCUUUUUUUCUUCUUCUUCUUCUUCUCCCCGAAGCCCCCAGUACAUAGUCGUAUACCCUAGUUGUGAGUGCCUCUGGUUGAGCUCUGUGGGACGCCGCCUCAGCGUGGCCUGAUGAGUGGUGUCAUGUCCGUGCCCAGGAUCCGAACCAGCGAAACCCUGGGCCGCCGAAGCAGAGCGCACGAACUUAACCACUCGGCCACGGGCCAGCCCCAGCUCUCUUCUUCAAGUGGCUUCCUCUUCAUGGUCCAUGGUGGCUGUUUGGUUCCAGCCCCUAGGAGAAGAAGGGGACAAAGAAGCGCAUGUUCUCCCUUUCAGGACACUCCCAGAACUGCACGCUACACUUGUGCUUACAGCUCACAGUCAGAAUUGAGUCACGUGGCUAAAAUGGCCCCCAGGGAGGCUGGGAAGAGAGUCUCGAUUCCAGGCAGCCAUGGGCCUUAUUAAAGUGGAUCGCCCACGUUCCAGCAGCCGCGUUCACCGUGUGACAGGUUGGGAAGCACUGUCACACCAGCUUCAACACCCCUGUGAGCCCGAGCUGGGGGAGGAGAGUCACCCCACAGAUCCGACGAGGAAAGCCAGACUCAGAGAAGGCGAGGCCUUGCCCAUGUACAGCUUGAUCCAGGACUCUAUCAAUGUGACCAGUCUUUCCAUGUUGGAUCUGCCUUGAAACAGUCUCCAUUCUCAGCAGGCUCUCCCCUCCUGGUUGGAGGAUGGCUGCCAGAAGAUUCCAACGCCACCCGCUUCUUUAUUCAUGUCCCGUGGGAAAGAUUCCCAGCAUUGAAUCUCUUUGGCCCUGAUCAUGUUGACAUGGGUCACGUGCUCCUUUAUUAAUUAACCUGUCACUGUGUGAUAGGAAAUGCUGAUUGGCUAGGCCAGCCUGGCUCAACCCUUAAGCUGCAUGUGGGGCCAAUUCUAGCCAGAUGCAUGGCUGGGAAAUUUGGGAUUCUCUGAGAAAUGGGGAGGGGAGGAAACAGACACUGUAGAAGCAACAAGCACACUCCAUGCCACCACUCGGUCUCAUUUCUUACCAUUCCCCAUAUACGCCCUCAUCUCUCCCUAAUCAUUGAUCCAGCACCUUCUGGAGGCUCCAGCUCUGUCCCUCCCUAGAAAACCCUCUGUACCAGUCAGGACUCUGGUUGCAAGCGACGGAAACCCAAGUGAAAUGGGCAUGAGCCAAAAGGGAAUUGUCUCACAUAAUUGUAAAGUCCAGAAACAGUGCUGCUGGCAUUAGGCCCGGGUGGUCCCAGGGACCCUGCCAGUGUCAUGGGUGCUUGGCCUCUUCUCCAUCUCCCGGCUCUCUCUCCUCCACGCGACUUCAUUCUCAGGAGACCCUGCCCAGUAAGCGGCAGGGGCGCCCCAGCACCCCAGGCCCUCAUUCGCUGGUUUGCCUAGUGUUCAGCCAAAGCCCCAGGGCGACUUUCAUUGGUCCACCGCUGACCAAUCACUGAGGAGGGGCGGGGCUGGCACCAGGUGACCGGUCUGACCUGGAUCGGUGUGCCCCUGCAGCUGGGGGAGGGGAGCCCCGCCUGACCCGCAGGACUGAUGGAAAGUCUGAAGGUCGUUUCCAGAGAGGAAGCCUGGGAGCUGGGCAGACAGGAGAAGAGCUUCAGUGACCCCGCAGUGUCUUUGUCGGCGCUGCGUUGCUCUGCAUUUUUCUCCAGAAACGUCUCCCCCUCCGUGUGUAGAACAUGGGGAUAAGAAUCACGUCAUCGUCCCUUCUCUGAUUAGUAGGUGCCUAAUAAACCCUGCAGAACAGAAUGCAGCUUGAAAUUUGAUGUGGCAAUCACAGCUACUGUGGAUGGAGCAGCCACCUACGCCAGCUCUUCAGAAGUGUUGUCAGGAAUUACAUUUAAGCAACAGGAUAGUGGUGAGGAAAUGGAGGCCCAGAGAUGUGAGGCAGUUUCCCCAGGUCACACAGCUGAUGAGGGACGGCGCUGGGACCCCCACUCAUGUCUGGCUGGCUCUAAAGCCCCUGGCUUUGCCUGCCCCCUCCAAGCGUGA
ensembl:lncRNA